CAAAUGGUAGUCAUAGUCCCCUGCAGACCAUUCUCCUCUUGUAAUACUGUCAGAGAAACCACUGCUCGUGCAAGGGCACCAGUGUAAGGAUGCUGGGGACAGAAGUGUGUAAACCUGCCACAGCAGCCCUCAGUUCUCAGCACUGAGACACCAGUGGGUGUCUUGGGCCCUGGUAGCAGAGCUUUGGUGUGGACGGGUGGAGCAGCAGAGCUGGUAAACCUCAUGUGGCCCUAUAACCUAUAUAUAUAACCUGUAAGUACCACACCUCACAAGGAAGGCUGUGGUUUAUCGUGCAAAGAAAGCCCAGCCCUGCCAGCGAUUAGGUAGGGGCUGAAAGCAACCUUCCUCCACUUAACACUCGCUUUUUGCGUGUGGGGUACAACAUGCUUGCACACUGCUCCCCACUAUUUCUCAAAACUUCAGGUGGAAGCGCGCUGCGUGCCUGCUGCCUCCUCCGGCGCCCGAGAUGGGAGGCGAGGGCAGCCGAUGCCCACCAGCAGCUCCCCACGGCUCAGCCCUUGUCCCCUCGCCCCGCUGGGGUCCCUCAGGGCGGCGGGGGCGUGGCGGGGCCGUUGCCAUGGCAGUGUAAAGCCGGGGCCGCCUCGCCGCAGGGCCCAGCCAUUUUGCGUGCGGGGAGCGGGGCGCCGCGCAAUUAGCGCCGACCUCAUCGAGGGAGGAGGAGGAGGAGGAGAGGAGAGGAGGGGAGGAAGGGGCGUCGCGGCUGCCAUUUUGACAAGCCGGGGAGUGCCGCCGGCCGCUCGCAGGAGGCGGGAUGCGGCGCGGCACCGCUGCGGACCUGCUGUCAGGCUGCCCAGCCGCGCUCCGCCCCGUAGAGGCACGGCUGCCCCGCAGCGCUCCCGCAGCCGCUCGCUAGGCGCUCCCGGGGGAGAAGCCGGAGCUCCGGGGGAAGAAGCAGCGGGCGCCUUUCCCCGCCGCACAGCCGGCAGGUGCGUGGUGCCGGCGAGCAGCCUCCCCGCGCUGUGCAGCCGCCCUCCGAGCCAGGCUUCCCGCGGGGACCCGGCUGCUGCAGCUUCCCUGUUUCCUUACGGUCUCUUUGGCAACAUCUGAUCCCUCUGAGCUAUUUGUAAAUCAAAUUGGUGACUCUCAGUAAUGGCCAUGGAGGUGCUGCAAUAGAAUAUAGUUUGGAGGAAGAAUUUUAAUGAGAUGGAGGUAAGAAACAGCA
rnacentral:lncRNA from 1 species